AUGCAAGACUACUUCGUGGACAAUCCAACAUAUCCGCCACACCUCUUCUGGAGAAGGUACCGAAUGUGCCGGUCCCUCUUUGUAAAAAUAGUUCAAACUUGUGAGGCCAAUUGUCGUUAUUUUACUCAAAGAAGAAAUCUCGCGGGCUUGAAGGGAUUUAGUGCAUAUCAAAAAAUCUCGGCAGCUAUGCGAGUAAUUGCAUAUGGCAUUCCGGCUGACUAUGCCGAUGAGUACCUUCGCAUUGGUGAAGAUACUACAAUUGAGUCAGUGCGUAGGUUUGCCAAAGUGAUCAUCUGUGUCUUUUGUCCUGAAUAUCUCCGGGCACCCAACGAGGAAGACAAACAAAAAUUGAUGGCACCUAUGAGAGCAGAGGUUGGCAUGGCAUGCUAG
rnacentral:rRNA from 1 species